GAGCGAAAACGGCGACGAGGAGCCAGGCAGCCCGGCCGUCAGGCAGUCUCAGAGAGAGAGACACAGAGAAGAGAGCAGAGACCUCACUCACCUGGGAAGGUUCCUACAAUUUUGAUUCGUCCGACAUGCCUGUCUUAGGCUAAAGGCUUUUAUUGGGAUCCCUGGUCUACGUCAUCCUCUUGAGAAAAUUCUGCCAAAAUCCAUCUGCAACGCCUUUGUGCAUGGUUCGACAAUGGUGAUUUAGCUCUCGGACUAGUAACUCUAGCUUAUUCAUAAAUUCACCUUGUUAACACUUGGACAGCGAGCGAAGCAGAACGAAGGGAACGCCCUACGAUCUACGUGAAUUGCCUUGUUAUCCUACCAAUUGUUUGUAACUACGGUCCUACGUCAUUUUAAAGGC